rnacentral:lncRNA from 1 species
UCUUGCAUCAUAGAAAAUUGAAGUCCGCUAGCAGAAUUUUAGAUCCAGCCCAAAGUCCAAUUUCAAUCAGCUGAUUAAACUUAAUCCCAAAUCUAUAUCUGUUCUCUGCUUAAAAAAUCAGACCUCUUCUUUUUCUUUGGUAACAAUCAGACCUCUUCUUAGAUCGCAUCCUGCUUAACUAAUCCAAAGCAUAGAAAAAUAUAUUGGUUUAAUCUCAGCAUGAAUUGAUGUGCAUCCCAAAACCCCGCAC